CGGGGGCAACUCCGCAAGUAAAGUGGCGACCGGGUGAGUAACACGUGACUAACCUGCCCUCGAGCGGGGGAUAACCCCGGGAAACCGGGGCUAAUACCGCAUAACGUCCUCGAUACGAAAGUAUUGAGGAUCAAAGGAGCAAUCCACUUGAGGAGGGGGUCGCGGCCGAUUAGCUAGUUGGCGGGGUAAUGGCCCACCAAGGCUGAGAUCGGUAGCCGGCCUGAGAGGGCGCACGGCCACACUGGAACUGAAACACGGUCCAGACUCCUACGGGAGGCAGCAGUGGGGAAUUUUGCGCAAUGGGGGGAACCCUGACGCAGCAACGCCGCGUGGAGGAUGAAGUCCCUUGGGACGUAAACUCCUUUCGACCGGGAAGAUAAUGACGGUACCGGAAGAAGAAGCACCGGCUAACUCUGUGC
rnacentral:rRNA from 1 species